rnacentral:lncRNA from 1 species
CUCAAUAUACAACCAUUCUACAAGAGACAGUAAAAUCUGUAGAAUUAAAAACUAGCUAAUGGGAGGCUAGAUAAUAAGAUGAACUCAAAUUUAUUUUUUUAUCAAACUAAAAUAAUACAAACUAUGUACAUUAGGUUAGAUAUUUUUUCUUUAAUUUAUAAAUUCUAGGGAGUUCCAUAUUAAAAAAAAUCCUAAGUAAUGGAAUAUGUGAUUGAAAUGUCGCCACUCAAUCCUUGAUCUUCUUGCAUUCAAGAAUUAAAAUGCACCCUGUAAUUUCAAAAGAAACAAUAAUUAGCACAAAAAAGAUGAGCAAACCCAAGGAAAAUUAUAAUACAAAGAUCAAGUUUAAUUUAUUAAAAUGCUACUAAUAGAAUUUCAGUAAGAAAAAUUUUUGUCUUGAUAUUCUAUUACAGGAAUUUUUAACAAAAAACAAAAGGGAAAAACUCAAAGCAACAAUAUCAGUAAACGAACCUGUAUACCUUUUAAAGAAUUUCUUACGAAAUCUUCAUCCCAACAUUACAACUUUAUUAUUUUCAAGUUCCCACGCAAUAUUUAUAACAAAUAAGAUACAAUAUUUAUCAAAUUGUUGGGAUAACCUGCAAAAUUUAACCCAAAAAUCUAAUAUUAGAUAUUAACCUGCAAAAUUUAACCCAAAAAUCUAUUUUAAGUUCCCACGCAAUAUUUAUAACAAAUAAGAUACAAUAUUUAUCAAAUUGUUGGGAUAACCUGCAAAAUUUAACCCAAAAAUCUACGUCAAAUAUUAGAUAUAAUGAGAUUCAAAAACCUUAAAAUAUAGAGAUAUGAAUAUAACUCAGAAUUAAGAAGGCAUCAAUUUCAAUGGUAGAAGAAAUGGGAAAGGGGGAGGAAUAAUUACCAAAAAAAAAGGGGGGGAGGAAGGGGUGGCGGCAGAGAGGGGGAAUAUGAGGUUAGGUUUUGGUUU